AUAAAAGCCAAAUUGAUUUAUCGUUGUUAAAAUAUUAAUUUUUCGAAUUUAUCGUAAGAACUUGUUAUUCGUUUUGUUUUUUUUACAUUCAAAAACGUUAUUCGAACGGACGAAUUAUUAUUAGUUUCGGUCGGUCUCGGGGGAAGAAAGGCUUGAAUCGAUUUUCUAUAAUUUUUCCAUACGUUACGUUUUAAAAAUCGCCAAACGACAUACCGUUGACUCGCGUUUUAUCGCCGAAAUAAAAAGGUGCGUCAUCGUGACUUUUUCAGAGAACUUUCGGUAUAGCACAAGUGUUAGAACAAUAUGCACUGUACACAUAAUGUUACGUAUACGUGUAUGCCAUUCAAAUCG